rnacentral:rRNA from 1 species
GAUGAACGCUAGCGACAGGCCUAACACAUGCAAGUCGAGGGGCAUCACGAAUUAGCAAUAAUUUGGUGGCGACCGGCGCACGGGUGAGUAACGCGUAUGCAACCUGCCUUCUACACUGGGAUAACUCGUUGAAAGACGGACUAAUACCGGAUAAUACAGGGGCUUCACAUGAAGAUAUUUGUUAAAGAUUUAUCGGUAGAAGAUGGGCAUGCGUAUGAUUAGUUUGUUGGUAAGGUAACGGCUUACCAAGACUUCGAUCAUUAGGGGUUCUGAGAGGAAGGUCCCCCACACUGGUACUGAGACACGGACCAGACUCCUACGGGAGGCAGCAGUGAGGAAUAUUGGUCAAUGGGCGAGAGCCUGAACCAGCCAAGUCGCGUGAAGGAUGACUGCCCUAUGGGUUGUAAACUUCUUUUGUAAGGGAAUAAAGUUCACCACGUGUGGUGUUUUGCAUGUACCUUACGAAUAAGGAUCGGCUAACUCCGUGCCAGCAGCCGCGGUAAUACGGAGGAUCCAAGCGUUAUCCGGAUUUAUUGGGUUUAAAGGGUGCGUAGGUGGACGAAUAAGUCAGUGGUGAAAGUUUUCAGCUCAACUGGAAAAUUGCCGUUGAAACUGUUUGUCUUGAGUGCAAGCGAGGUAAGCGGAAUGUGUUGUGUAGCGGUGAAAUGCUUAGAUAUGACACAGAACUCCGAUUGCGAAGGCAGCUUACUAGUAUGCAACUGACACUGAUGCACGAAAGCGUGGGUAUCAAACAGGAUUAGAUACCCUGGUAGUCCACGCAGUAAGCGAUGAUUACUCGCUGUUUGCGAUAUACAGUAAGCGGCCAAGCGAAAGCGUUAAGUAAUCCACCUGGGGAGUACGUUCGCAAGAAUGAAACUCAAAGGAAUUGACGGGGGCCCGCACAAGCGGAGGAACAUGUGGUUUAAUUCGAUGAUACGCGAGGAACCUUACCCGGGCUUGAAAUGUACUUGAUCGGACAAGAGAUUGUCUUUCCAGCAAUGGCAAGUAUGUAGGUGCUGCAUGGUUGUCGUCAGCUCGUGCCGUGAGGUGUCGGCUUAAGUGCCAUAACGAGCGCAACCCUUGCCGGUAGUUGCUAACAAUUAAAGUUGAGGACUCUACCGGGACUGCCAUCGUAAGAUGUGAGGAAGGUGGGGAUGACGUCAAAUCAGCACGGCCCUUACGUCCGGGGCGACACACGUGUUACAAUGGGUGGUACAAUGGGUUGCUACUGGGUGACCAGAUGCUAAUCUCUCAAAUCCACUCUCAGUUCGGAUCGAAGUCUGCAACUCGACUUCGUGAAGCUGGAUUCGCUAGUAAUCGCGCAUCAGCCAUGGCGCGGUGAAUACGUUCCCGGGCCU